rnacentral:rRNA from 1 species
GAAUUCGCCCUUAGAGUUUGAUCCUGGCUCAGGAUGAACGCUAGCGGCAGGCUUAACACAUGCAAGUCGAGGGGCAGCAUAAUGGAUAGCAAUAUCUAUGGUGGCGACCGGCGCACGGGUGCGUAACGCGUAUGCAACCUACCUUUAACAGGGGGAUAACACUGAGAAAUUGGUACUAAUACCUCAUAAUAUCAUAGAAGGCAUCUUUUAUGGUUGAAAAUUCCGAUGGUUAGAGAUGGGCAUGCGUUGUAUUAGCUAGUUGGUGGGGUAACGGCUCACCAAGGCGACGAUACAUAGGGGGACUGAGAGGUUAACCCCCCACACUGGUACUGAGACACGGACCAGACUCCUACGGGAGGCAGCAGUGGGGAAUAUUGCGCAAUGGGGGAAACCCUGAUGCAGCGACGCCGCGUGAGCGAAGAAGUAUUUCGGUAUGUAAAGCUCUAUCAGCAGGGAAGAAGAAAUGACGGUACCUGACUAAGAAGCACCGGCUAAAUACGUGCCAGCAGCCGCGGUAAAACGUAGGGUGCAAGCGUUGUCCGGAAUUACUGGGUGUAAAGGGAGCGCAGGCGGACCGGCAAGUUGGAAGUGAAAACUAUGGGCUCAACCCAUAAAUUGCUUUCAAAACUGCUGGCCUUGAGUAGUGCAGAGGUAGGUGGAAUUCCCGGUGUAGCGGUGGAAUGCGUAGAUAUCGGGAGGAACACCAGUGGCGAAGGCGACCUACUGGGCACCAACUGACGCUGAGGCUCGAAAGCAUGGGUAGCAAACAGGAUUAGAUACCCUGGUAGUCCAUGCCGUAAACGAUGAUUACUAGGUGUUGGAGGAUUGACCCCUUCAGUGCCGCAGUUAACACAAUAAGUAAUCCACCUGGGGAGUACGACCGCAAGGUUGAAACUCAAAGGAAUUGACGGGGGCCCGCACAAGCAGUGGAGUAUGUGGUUUAAUUCGAAGCAACGCGAAGAACCUUACCAGGUCUUGACAUCCGAUGCAUAGCGCAGAGAUGCGUGAAGUCCUUCGGGACAUCGAGACAGGUGGUGCAUGGUUGUCGUCAGCUCGUGUCGUGAGAUGUUGGGUUAAGUCCCGCAACGAGCGCAACCCUUAUUGCCAGUUACUACGAAAGAGGACUCUGGCGAGACUGCCGUUGACAAAACGGAGGAAGGUGGGGAUGACGUCAAAUCAUCAUGCCCUUUAUGACCUGGGCUACACACGUACUACAAUGGCGUUUAACAAAGAGAAGCAAGACCGCGAGGUGGAGCAAAACUCAAAAACAACGUCUCAGUUCAGAUUGCAGGCUGCAACUCGCCUGCAUGAAGUCGGAAUUGCUAGUAAUCGCGGAUCAGCAUGCCGCGGUGAAUACGUUCCCGGGCCUUGCACACACCGCCCGUCA